rnacentral:lncRNA from 1 species
GUUUAAAUCCCCCUCCCUCUCUGUGGCCGAGCUCAUGCCUACAGUCGCCGGGGGAGGGAAGGUCUCUGACCACCAAGCAGGAUAAGAAGACAGAGAGUUAGGAGCGAGAGUGAAUGAAGAACUUUCUCCGAUUGCUGCUUUCUCCAGCUUAUUGCAU